rnacentral:rRNA from 1 species
CACGUAGGGGGCAAGCGUUGUCCGGAUUUAUUGGGCGUAAAGAGCUCGUAGGCGGCUUAGUAAGUCGGGUGUGAAACCUCCAGGCUCAACCUGGAGACGCCACCCGAUACUGCUGUGGCUAGAGUCCGGUAGGGGACCACGGAAUUCCUGGUGUAGCGGUGAAAUGCGCAGAUAUCAGGAGGAACACCAGUGGCGAAGGCGGUGGUCUGGGCCGGAACUGACGCUGUAGAGCGAAAGCGUGGGGAGCGAACAGG